UACAGAGGUCCCAAGCGUUGUUCGGAUUCACUGGGCGUAAAGGGUGCGUAGGCGGUCGGGUAAGUCUGAUGCGAAAUCUCACAGCUUAACUGUGAAACUGCAUUGGAUACUAUCCGGCUAGAGGAAUGGAGGGGAGACUGGAAUACUUGGUGUAGCAGUGAAAUGCGUAGAUAUCAAGUGGAACACCAGUGGCGAAGGCGAGUCUCUAGUACGGUACUGACGCUGAGACGCGAAAGCGUGGGGAGCGAACAGG
rnacentral:rRNA from 1 species